rnacentral:rRNA from 1 species
GACGAACGCUGGCGGCGUGCCUAAUACAUGCAAGUCGAGCGAACAGACGAGGAGCUUGCGCCUCUGACGUUAGCGGCGGACGGGUGAGGAACACGUGGACAACCUACCUAUCAGACUGGGAUAAUUAUGGGAAACCGGAGCUAAGACCGGAUAAUAUAUUGAACCGCAUGGGGCAAUAGUGAAAUACGGUUGUGCUGAGGCUAAAAGACUGACACGGGCCGCAUUAGUUUGUUGGUACGGAAACGGCUUAGCAAGGCAGGGACGGGGAGCCGACCCAAACGGGUGGUCGGCCACCCUGGAACUGAGACACGGUCCAGACUCCUGCGGGAGGCCGCAGCAGGGACUCUUCCGCGAUGGACGAGAGCCUGACGGAGCAACGCGGCGUGAGUGCUGAAGGUCCUCGGAUCGUAAAGCUCUGUUAUUAGUGGAGAACUAAUGUGUAAGUAACUGUGCACGUCUUGACGGUACCGGGUCAGAAAGCCCCGGCUAACUCCGUG